rnacentral:tRNA from 1 species
GCCCAGCUAGCUCAGUCGGUAGAAUAUUAGACUCUUAAUCUCAGGGUCUUGGGUUCGUGCCCCACAUUGGGCA